CAGCAGCCGCGGUAAUACAGAGGGUGCAAGCGUUAAUCGGAAUUACUGGGCGUAAAGCGCGCGUAGGUGGUUUGUUAAGUUGGAUGUGAAAGCCCCGGGCUCAACCUGGGAACUGCAUCCAAAACUGGCAAGCUAGAGUACGGUAGAGGGUGGUGGAAUUUCCUGUGUAGCGGUGAAAUGCGUAGAUAUAGGAAGGAACACCAGUGGCGAAGGCGACCACCUGGACUGAUACUGACACUGAGGUGCGAAAGCGUGGGGAGCAAACAGGAUUAGAGACCCCCGUAGUCCCUGUCUCUUAUAA
rnacentral:rRNA from 1 species